rnacentral:lncRNA from 1 species
GCGUGGCGGGGACCUGAGUUCCGCGCGCAGCGAGCUAACUCCCUGCCAGCCGAGCCCGCCCAGUCCUGCGCGCAGCGCCAGCGGCUGCCGGCUACACCUGUCCCGCCGCGCGUCCGCCCCGCGCGGGGACCGGGGGUGCUGCCGGGCCCGAAGCUCAAUGGGUUCUGUGCUGUAAGCGGUGGCUCGCGCCUGGGAGACCAGCGGCAGGAAGUGCGGGCAGCGGCCGGCCGGGUCCCCGGGGAGGCCGGGGCGCGGCGUGCGCGCUCCCCCGCGCAGCUGGCGAGCCGCACCGCCCCCGCGGCACCUCCAUGCGCCCCUGGCCUGCUCGCAAGUCGCUGUUCUCCAGAGGGUUUAGCCGGACCGUUCCUCUUCCUCGGCCGCGAGCACGUGCGCGGGGGUGCGCGCGGAGGUCACGGUCACUGCGCGGCGCAGGGAAGGAGGCGCCGCGCCUGCAGGACCUCCCUUCGCCUCGGCGCACGCCGCGCACGCAGGCGAUUAGCCUCGUCCCCUAGGACAUUGCCAGGGCUCUAGGGAACCCCUCCUGCGCAGGCUUGGCCCUGCCUCCUCCAGGCUUCCGAGUCUUUUUCGGCUUUUCGUGAGCCUCAGAGAGGGACGUUUCCUGCCAACGCUGCUGCGAAGGAAAGUUUGGGCGGCGUUAUCCCGACUGCCUUCCUCGCCAGCGCCGGCGAGCAGCUUGGGGACACGGCCGACGCCCGGGCAUCCUCCCCGACGACUCCCCGGAGCGCUCCCGGUGCUGACUCCUUUCCGAGCGGCGGGCAGAAGUGACAGCCCCGGAGCUUCGUUCGGGUGUAGGUGUGGGGAUGUCCCUCAAGGCAGAAGGGGAAGGCGCUCCGGUUGAAGGGGGUACCCCGGGGCCCGCGCCGACUCCUCCCGGUGCAGCCUUGGCUCUCCGGAGUCACGGGUCGUAGGUUGGCGCCGCUGCCCGCCGACCAGCACCCUGGCGCCAGGCGCCCGGCCUCGCGCCGCACCCUUGGCGGUGCUGUACGAGGGGCUCCACCGCCCGCUGCGGCGCAGUCUCGUGAACCCCGCUCCAAUUUUUUCCUACGGAGGCGCAGAGGAGGGGAAAUUCGCGCUCUCCUUCCCGACGCCCCGGCUUCUGGGAGCGUCAGAGCAACGGAAGUACGUACAGGAGAACCGAGAGCAGCAGGGAAGUUUGGCGGUGGGCUGGGGUCGGCGGCGAAGAUUCCCUGCCGUGCGCUGCCCCCUCGUGGCCGCUUUGCGUUUCCGUCGGGAACGGCUGGGUUCCCGUCCGGGGCCCAGCACAAACCAGGACUGGCUGGACGCUCCACAGCGGGUUCAGCCACGGCUAACAUCAGAAGAGUCGCGGAGGGCCCGCCUACCGGCCAGCCUGUCCUUGUGGAUGCUAGUCCCGGAAACUUUGCUUCUGAUAGCAGCAGGUGGCUUUCCUAACCCAGAUGUCUCUCAGCAGUGUGGAGUUCCAUCUGUAUGAUUUACAUCAGCGCCAACAACAGGGUGAGAUGGAAGGCAUCCCAGAGCUGCCUGGCUUCCCUUGAGGGCUGAAGGAAGGGCACACACCUUGCAGUGCAUGGAAACAUAUUCACAUGAACCACCUUUCACGCUUACCCUUGCUCAGGAAUAAGGGGAAUUUUUGAGAGGACCCAGGAUACUUGAUCCAAGAGCAGAUGGUAGACACAGCAUCCAAGGGGGAGCAUAAAGAGGGGACCCGUCAGGCACUGGGAGGGCUCACAGAGAGCAAGGACUGCCUGUAAUGACAUCCCCGGGUGAUUUUGGUUGCAAGCAACAGAAACCAACUCUAGGUAGAUUUUAAAGGAAGCAGAAUAUACACUAAUAGUAAGAGGCAUCUCAUAGGAUCCCAGGCUAAGAGCUGGGCCAGAUUAACACAGAUAGAGAGCCUGCAUUGUGUGUUGCUGACCCUGUCUCUAGUUGAUGACUCGACCCUUCACUUUCUUGCACCAGCUGCCUCUGCUUCCCAACCCACGUGACAGAAAACAUGGUCAAAGCUCCAUAAGCCUUUCUUGCAACCACAUGAGCCACUCCUGGAAGUUCUAAAACUCUUAUCACUAGCAUGGACCAGUGGUCAUUCUUUGGACCCGUGUGCCUUGGCCACAGGAGCAGGAUCAUCUGCAACCUGGCAGCACUCUCUGUAGUCACACAGGAGAAGCAAGAAUUUCCAGAAGAAUUGCUAUGCUGGGCAGUCAGAACAACAGAUGCCCGUGCCAGAAGCUCACCGCCACAUCUCUGCCCUCAGUACAUCUUUAUCUUGCACAACCUAAGACAAGAGCAAGAGAGGGCUACUGAAGCCCACCUUUCCCAGCUUUCUUCUGCCUCCACUUUACCCCUUUUGCCCCUGCCAUAACCAGCACCCACAGGACACACAGACUGUGCACCCAGAUGUCCACAGUGACUGGGCAGGGCAUGAAAUUAAUGAAGCAGGGUGAACCCCAGGCAGUAGGGCCUGGUGGGGACUGCAGUGAGCUGCGUCUGCACCUUUCAGAGGAAGUAGCUGCUGCCCAGCUCCAGCCCUGGGGAAAUGAUGACCAAAUGUUGCUAGAUCUUCAUACCUUUCAAGAGAAGUUGGAAGUGCUGCUUUUUGCAUGACAUCUCCUGAUGUUCAACAGUUGGCAACCGAUUCAGUUCUCAAAAACCACCAUAUUAGCCAAACAAAAUAAAUGUGUGCUCAGAUUGGCCCAUAGACCGCCAGUUUCCAAUUUCUGGUUGAAGUCGCCAAGUACACUACGCUACAGUGUGAGGGAAUUUAAGGGUGUGAACUAAAUAGUUGAAGUAUUACAAAUACGGUCUUAUGUUACUCGGUUACAUUUGCACAUGUUCAAUAAGCCAAUUAUAUAAGUAAAUAAUUGAGAAGACCUGGCUUUACAGCCAUUCCUAAAAAGAUCUGGGGAUUUCAGUUGACCACAAGCAUCCCGUGAGCCAACAUGAGUCAUCUAUGUAGUACGGCUGACUAGAGAAGUAAUGAAAUCUUCAGAUGCCUUCAUGAAAGUUAAGGUGAGGGGCGGUCAGGGUUUGGAAAAAAAUAAUCCCAUUGUCCCUCAGACUUGUGAGAUUACUUCCAAUUCUGGGUACCAAAAAUUAAUGACAAUGUGGUAAGGGAUCCGGAGGCCUCAUCCAUGAGUUUCAGUUGAAGGAACACAGGGCGUCUGUCCAGAGGAGAAAAAGCUCAGAGGAAACAGGACUGGACGGCUAUAUGUCAGGUUUUUGGCUGCCCAAAAUUUGAACUUCUUUUUAGAUUUGGAAGAUGCUCCACGUGGUGAUAGUCAGAUAAUUCUAACUCCCACCCCACUCUGCUAAGGUGUGGGAAUGUGACAGGCUCAGCCAGUCAAAAGCUUCCCCUCCCCAACAACACUCUGAGAAGUAGAGGGACCUGAGCAGAGGAAGCACCGAGAGUUCAGCCACUGUGGGGCAGGUGGCCAGCAGCAGCAGUGCCUGCAACCUGGUGCCCGCCUGGUGGGCAGAGUGGCCUGUAGCAUCUCAGAGCGGGGGCACGCCUUGGCAACAGGCCAACCCUGGACGUGACCGCCUGGUAAGCCUGGGCUGUAGCCUUCACUGCUUUCCUGGUCUUGCUGUUGAUCCUAUGGAUUUCCCAAUUUCAUUUCCUUAGUUUCUUUUUUGUUAAAUCAACCAGAGUCCAUUUUUGUUGUUUUCAACUGGGAAACCAAAUUCAUACACAUUAUUUACGACCAACGAAACCCCUCUAUAUGAGACAGGCGUCACUGCACUGAGCAGCAGCUCCAUUUGCAGAACCCUGGAGGAUCUCUACCAGGCAUUGCACCGUGUGGGGUUGAAGCAGGUUUAGUCAGGCAACCCUAAAUGUGCUCAUUUGGGGCAAGAAAAAAUCUGAUGCAGGGAGACAUAAAAUUGGAAGUUACUGGUUAAAAACUAACACAGGAUGACAACAAAGCAAAUUCACUUAAUGCCACUGAACUAUACACUUUAAAAUGGGUAAAAUGGUCACUUUUAGGUUAUGUAUUUUCCCACAAUUUUAAGAAUAAAACUGCAGCCGGGCAAGGUGGCUCAUGCCUGUAAUCCCAGCAUUUUGGGCGGCUGAGACGGGCGGAUCACCUGAGGUCAGGAGUUCGAGACCAACCUGGCCAACAUAGUGAAACCCUGUCUUUACUAAAAAUAAAAAUAAAAAAAAUUAGCCCGGGCAUAGUGGCUCACGCCUGUAAUCCCAGAACUUUGGGAGGCCGAGGCGGGCAGAUCACAUGAGGUCAGGAGUUCGAGACCAUCCUGACUAACAUGGUGAAACCCUGUCUCUACUAAAAUACAAAAAUUUGCCAGAUGUGGUGGUGGGCACCUGUAACCUCAGCUAUUUGGGAGGUUGAGGCAGGAGAAUCGCUUGAACCCAGAAGGUAGAGGUUGCAAUGAGCUGAGAUCAUGCCAUUGCACUCCAGCCUGGGCAACAAGAGCGAGACUCUGUCUCCAAAAAAAAAAAAAAUUAACUAGAUGUGGUGGCAUGCACCUGUAAUCCCAGUUAAUCGGGAGACUAAGGCAUGAGACUCACUUGAACCCGGGAGGUGGAGGCUGCAGCAUGUUUAGAGUGCACCACCACACUCUAACCUGGGCGACACAGCUAGACCGUCUCAAAAAUAUAAUAAAUAAAUGGCCAGGCGCGGUGGCUCACGCCUGUAAUCCCACCACUUUGGGAGGCCAAGGCGGGCGGAUCACAAGGUCAGGAGAAUGAGACCAUCCUGGCCAACACGGUGAAACCUCGUCUCUACUAAAAAUAAAAAAUACCAAAAAUUAGCUGGACAUGGUGGUGCGCGCCUGUAGUCCCAGCUGCUCGGGAGGCUGAGGCAGGAGAAUGGCAUGAACCCGGGAAGUGGAGCUUACAGUGAGCUGAGAUCGCACCACUGCACUCCAGCCUGGGUGAGAGAGUGAGACUCUGUCUCAAAAAAAAAAAAUACAGAUAUAUAUAUGUGUGUGUGUGUGUGUGUGUGUGUGUGUGUAUAUAUAUAAAAUAAAUAAAACUGAAAAGUAAAAUAACAGAGGAGUAAAGAGUCCAGUGCUAAGAACCUUGGUUUCAGUUAUGUCCAUGGGAGUUCAUUCAACAACCUAUAAAUUGAGCACCAACUGUAUACCAGCAAGGUCUUAGACCUUCCCUUGAAACACUGGCAUUCUAGAAGGGCAGGAUGGAACUGUCAAAAACAGGUGCAGCCAUGGGUGAGAACUGGCAGCCAGCCACAGCACCGUGCUCUCUGUCCUGGUGAACUCAUUCUUCCUCCACACAGCCCUAUGAGGCAAGUAUUAAUGUGGUACCUUCAUUUCACAGGUGAGGAAACUGAGGCAAAAAGAGACUAUGUAACCAACCCAAUGUCACACUGCUGCUGAGUGGAAUAGUCAAGACUUGCAUCCAAAGUGGGGAACUUGAGUCUAUAUUUUACAUCCACCCAGCCCCUGGAGCUCAUGAAUAAGACCAGAGCUAAAAAUACAGACUUGAAUUCAUCCGCAUAUAGGCAGUAGGAAGACCCAGGGGAGCAAAUGCUUUCACCCAUGGAGAAGAGAGAAAGGCAUGCUUGGGGCAGAGCCCCAGAGAGCACCGUGCUUCAGGG